AUUGAACGCUGGCGGCAGGCCUAACACAUGCAAGUCGAGCGGAUAAAGGGAGCUUGCUCCUGGAUUCAGCGGCGGACGGGUGAGUAAUGCCUAGGAAUCUGCCUGGUAGUGGGGGAUAACGUCCGGAAACGGGCGCUAAUACCGCAUACGUCCUGAGGGAGAAAGUGGGGGAUCUUCGGACCUCACGCUAUCAGAUGAGCCUAGGUCGGAUUAGCUAGUUGGUGGGGUAAAGGCCUACCAAGGCGACGAUCCGUAACUGGUCUGAGAGGAUGAUCAGUCACACUGGAACUGAGACACGGUCCAGACUCCUACGAGAGGCAGCAGUGGGGAAUAUUGGACAAUGGGCGAAAGCCUGAUCCAGCCAUGCCGCGUGUGUGAAGAAGGUCUUCGGAUUGUAAAGCACUUUAAGUUGGGAGGAAGGGCAGUAAGUUAAUACCUUGCUGUUUUGACGUUACCAACAGAAUAAGCACCGGCUAACUUCGUG
rnacentral:rRNA from 1 species